rnacentral:rRNA from 1 species
UUUGAUCCUGGCUCAGAACGAACGCUGGCGGCAGGCUUAACACAUGCAAGUCGAGCGCCUCUUCGGAGUGAGCGGCAGACGGGUGAGUAACGCGUGGGAAUCUACCCAUCUCUACGGAAUAACUCAGGGAAACUUGUGCUAAUACCGUAUACGCCUUCGGGGGAAAGAUUUAUCGGAGAUGGAUGAGCCCGCGUUGGAUUAGCUAGUUGGUGGGGUAAAGGCCUACCAAGGCGACGAUCCAUAGCUGGUCUGAGAGGAUGAUCAGCCACACUGGGACUGAGACACGGCCCAGACUCCUACGGGAGGCAGCAGUGGGGAAUAUUGGACAAUGGGCGCAAGCCUGAUCCAGCCAUGCCGCGUGAGUGAUGAAGGCCCUAGGGUUGUAAAGCUCUUUCAACGGUGAAGAUAAUGACGGUAACCGUAGAAGAAGCCCCGGCUAACUUCGUGCCAGCAGCCGCGGUAAUACGAAGGGGGCUAGCGUUGUUCGGAAUUACUGGGCGUAAAGCGCACGUAGGCGGAUCGUUAAGUGAGGGGUGAAAUCCCAGGGCUCAACCCUGGAACUGCCUUUCAUACUGGCGAUCUUGAGUUCGAGAGAGGUGAGUGGAAUUCCGAGUGUAG